UUCUGUGUAAUGAAAAAUGGAGUCUUGGAUGAAAUGGGAAGUGGAUUUUGAGGAAAGUGCAUCAGCGACUGAAAUGCUUCUGUAGAUUGAACAGAUAUUCCUGCUUUGAAACAACAUUUAACUUCUAACGAGGUUCACUGCUUUUCUUUGUCCAUUUUCCUAUUAUAUCCGGGAAGUGAAACAACAUUUAACUUCUUACGAGGUUCACUGCUUUUCUUUGUCCAUUUUCCUAUUAUACACGGGAAGAGCUAUGCACACCCAGGCUUACAAAGUCAAACACUUUUAACAUUCACUCUUAUUUUUCUUUAGUCUGUCUGGC
rnacentral:lncRNA from 1 species